UCUAACGAAAGCCAAAAAUGUGCGUGUUUUGAUCUAUUCCUAUCUAAUAGUUCCUUUCAAAAAUUUAUUAAAGUUAAUGUAGGUGUGUGUGUGUGUGUGUGUGUGUGUGUGUUACUAUAUUCUAUUUAUAAACCUUUGUUGUAUUUGUUUGGCUGAUAAUGAGGAACACUUAAGCAAUGUAGGUAGUAACCUUUUCUACGUCGUUUUAAUUUCUGGAAACAUUGCAUCACAGAGGAUAUGGGCAAACUACUUAUUCAGAGCACCUUUCCAAUUAAAUCUCGUAAUCUACUGUCCGACUACCAGAAGCAUGGUACAAGCAUACCUCUUGGAGCCUCUGGGUCAUCUGUCUAAUGGUCAUUUCAUAAGAUUCUUCCUUCUGUAAGGCCUGUGUAUUGCAAAGGUAAAAAAACGAAUUAAAAACUGAUUACAGAAUAUAAACUACAAUACAUCUUACCUGUUGCAAACGAGAAUUCAUAAGGCGUUCCUGAGCUUCAUAAGCCUCAUGCUUUUGUUGAUUCUAAGUUGGAAAUGAACAGUAGCAAUGUUAAAUGGGAUCUAUUCUAUCUAAAGGAUUUUUUACGA